GCCCCGAUGGUCUAAUGGUCAGGGCGGCGCAACUGCACCUCGUCGACUAAAAUCGACGCGGCGCUGUUUGGAAGGGUCCGGGUUCGAUUCCCGGUCGGGGCG